rnacentral:rRNA from 1 species
CCCUUAGAUGUUCUGGGCCGCACGCGUGCUACACUGAGUAAUUCAAUGGGUAAGGGAACGCUAGAGCAUUACCUAAUCUUGAAAUUUGCUCGUGAUGGGGAUCGACGGUUGCAAUUUUCCGUCGUGAACGAGGAAUACCUUGUAGGCGCAUGUCAUCAUCAUGCGCCGAAUACGUCCCUGCCCUUUGUACACACCGUCCGUCGCUCCUACCGAUUGAGUGAUCCGGUGAGGCUCUGGGACCUGGACGGAAAGAGCGUUUCGCUUGUUCUGUUUGGGAAACUUGGUCGAACCUUAUCAUUUAGAGGAAGGAGAAGUCGUAACA